UCCGGUUGAUCUGCCGGAGGCGACCGCUUUUGGAGUUCGAUUAAGCCAUGCGAGUCGCGAGCCUUAGGGGCUCGGCAUACUGCUCAGUAACACGUGGAUAACCUGCCCUAUUGUCUGGAAUAACCUCGGGAAACUGAGAACAAGGCCGGAUAGCCCACAAUGCCUGGAACGGUUUGUGGGUGAAGCAUACAGUAGGAUGGGUCUGCGGCGUAUCAGGUUGUAGGGGGUGUAAUGGACCUCCUAGCCAUCGACGCGUACGGGUGUUGGGAGACAUAGCCCGGAGAUGGAUUCUGAGACACGAAUCCAGACCCUACGGGGUGCAGCAGGCGCGAAAACUUCACACUGCAGGAAACUGUGAUGAGGGAACUCCAAGUGCUAUCACUAUGUGGUAGCUUUUCUUGACUAUUAAUCGGUCAUGGAAUAAGGGCUGGGAAAGACCGGUGCCAGCCGCCGCGGUAAUACCGGCAGCUCAAGUGGUCGUCGCUUUUAUUGGGCCUAAAACGUCCGUAGCCUGUUUGGUAAAUCUGUGGGUAAAUCAACCAGCUUGACUGGUUGACUUCUGCAGAGACUGCCAGACUAGGGACCGGGAGAGGUGUGGGGUACUCUAGGGGUAGGGGUACAAUCCUGUCAUC
rnacentral:rRNA from 1 species